GCUAAAGAGAGAGGGGACGCCCACACCAAGGGAUCUCCACACCAAGCCUUUGAUUGAUUGCUUUCCUCUUUCUCCACACCCCUCCUUAUAUAGGCAAGAGGUCCUAAAUCAAAUCAAACUCUUUUGGAUGUUUGAAAAAAGACUCUCCAUAUUUGAAUCAAAUCCAAACUCUCUAAAAUACAAGGAAUCCUAAUCUAAGUAAG
rnacentral:lncRNA from 1 species